GAAAAGGUUAUUCAAAAACAUUAAAUCGGAAAGUUUUAAAUGAAGGCGUGUAUUUCUUUGUUGCAAAUUUUUGUGACUCACAUUUUUUAUUAUUUUGAGUUUCUUUGUUCACAAUCCCCCUUCUGUGUGUGUGUCUUUACUACCCCCUUUCUCACUCUCUCCCUUACACCCCUACUUGUAUCUCUUUCGCUCCCUGGCCUACAUACCUACAACAGCUCUUGGUAACAUGGCCAUGUGGUUGGUGUUGGCGCCCUCGAUGCCAGUAAUCAUCCUUCCACUAUAAAUGACUUAGUGACUUAGAUAUUGUAAAAAUUCUUCAUUAAUUCUAGUACUUAGAGGUGUGCAUGUAUGGGGCAGCAUACCAUAAGAUUAUAACCUCAUUCUCUAUUUAACUGACUGAGCACCUAACUGUAGAAGAUGGAUUACAGACUCUAAUGAACCAGGAGGCUUCGGAAAGGCAACAUGAUUACUAACUCAGCCCAAAUUCACUUAACCACACUUCAUGAGGCACUAGGGAAGUACAGUGGAUUGCAGAGUCCUCUAUCCUAUAGAGUUCUGCAGGGAUAAAUUAAAGUAAGCCAGACUGUCUGUUCUAACUAAGGUCCUGUUCUAACUAAGGUUUGAAUAAAAUUCCCAAAUCCAUCUCUGGUAAUACACGUUUUUUUUAUUUCCAUAAUAUAGUUACCUUUGUAAAAUGUUCAAUAAACAUAAACAACUAUACAACCCGUUCCAUCAUAUCAUUUAGACAAAAUAUUGAUAAGUUUCUCUUUAACUCCCAGCACUGCAUUCUAUUCAGAACACAAUGGUUCUAUCCUGUUCUUGCUUCAGAAUAUGAAAUGUGUAACAACAUAAACUACAAGCACACAGUGUCUUUGGUAAUGCGGUAAUGCAUUUCUUAACUUUUUUUGGAUUAAGUCUAUUAAUAAUUAAUACAAGUUAUAAACAUUUAAUAAACAUGACAUACAUUUU